CAGUAGCCGCGGUAAUACGAGGGGGGCAAGCGUUGUUCGGAAUUAUUGGGCGUAAAGGGCGCGUAGGCGGUUUGACAAGUCUGAUGUGAAAUCUAUGGGCUCAACCCAUAGCCUGCAUCGGAAACUGCCGGGCUUGAGUAUGGGAGAGGUGAGUUGAAUUCCUGGUGUAGCGGUGAAGUGCGUAGAUAUCAGGAGGAACACCUGUGGCGAAAGCGGCUCACUGGACCAUAACUGACGCUGAUGCACGAAAGCUAGGGGAGCAAACAGGAUUAGAUACCCCCGUAGUCCCUGUCUCUUAUAC
rnacentral:rRNA from 1 species